CUCGCACACGACGAUCGACCUUCGCAAUCGACUCUCUCUCUCGGCAACUUUGAGAGAGACUCCAAGAGCUGAAGAACUCCUUCCUGCGAAGCUAUUGAAGAGGUUUAAUCGAAGGUGCUAAUCGAUUCUCUCCUUCAAAGAUCACAUUCCGCAAACGACCCCCUCCGCUCCAAUGACGACUCCUCUUCUCGUCAGGUACUCCCUCUUUUCCCUCCGUUUCUAGGGUUUUGAAUGCUGUUCUGUUUUUGCAUGCUCUUUCUUUUGAAUCUCAAUCUCUGUUUUUAUU